GAUGGAAUGAUAUCAGAAAAAUGUGUUCUCUAACAGACGCCCUCCUUGCACACUACACUCAAUGCCAAUGACUACCAAUGGUCUCCUAUCGAGACAUGUUCUUAAAAAGCAUUCAUUAUGCCUACUAUUCUCCACACCACCUUUGUCUCAUGGUUAGAAAAGACCCAGCAUCCUGUUUCAAAUGCACACACAAAAAUUCAGACUUAUGUUACUGUCUAUGGGAGUGCAGCAUAAUCAAUUGUUUUUGAG